AGCGUACACGGUGGAUGCCCUGGCAGUCAGAGGCGAUGAAGGACGUGCUAAUCUGCGAUAAGCGUCGGUAAGGUGAUAUGAACCGUUAUAACCGGCGAUUUCCGAAUGGGGAAACCCAGUGUGUUUCGACACACUAUCAUUAACUGAAUCCAUAGGUUAAUGAGGCGAACCGGGGGAACUGAAACAUCUAAGUACCCCGAGGAAAAGAAAUCAACCGAGAUUCCCCCAGUAGCGGCGAGCGAACGGGGAGCAGCCCAGAGCCUGAAUCAGUGUGUGUGUUAGUGGAAGCGUCUGGAAAGGCGCGCGAUACAGGGUGACAGCCCCGUACACAAAAAUGCACAUGCUGUGAGCUCGAUGAGUAGGGCGGGACACGUGGUAUCCUGUCUGAAUAUGGGGGGACCAUCCUCCAAGGCUAAAUACUCCUGACUGACCGAUAGUGAACCAGUACCGUGAGGGAAAGGCGAAAAGAACCCCGGCGAGGGGAGUGAAAAAGAACCUGAAACCGUGUACGUACAAGCAGUGGGAGCACGCUUAGGCGUGUGACUGCGUACCUUUUGUAUAAUGGGUCAGCGACUUAUAUUCUGUAGCAAGGUUAACCGAAUAGGGGAGCCGAAGGGAAACCGAGUCUUAACUGGGCGUUAAGUUGCAGGGUAUAGACCCGAAACCCGGUGAUCUAGCCAUGGGCAGGUUGAAGGUUGGGUAACACUAACUGGAGGACCGAACCGACUAAUGUUGAAAAAUUAGCGGAUGACUUGUGGCUGGGGGUGAAAGGCCAAUCAAACCGGGAGAUAGCUGGUUCUCCCCGAAAGCUAUUUAGGUAGCGCCUCGUGAAUUCAUCUCCGGGGGUAGAGCACUGUUUCGGCAAGGGGGUCAUCCCGACUUACCAACCCGAUGCAAACUGCGAAUACCGGAGAAUGUUAUCACGGGAGACACACGGCGGGUGCUAACGUCCGUCGUGAAGAGGGAAACAACCCAGACCGCCAGCUAAGGUCCCAAAGUCAUGGUUAAGUGGGAAACGAUGUGGGAAGGCCCAGACAGCCAGGAUGUUGGCUUAGAAGCAGCCAUCAUUUAAAGAAAGCGUAAUAGCUCACUGGUCGAGUCGGCCUGCGCGGAAGAUGUAACGGGGCUAAACCAUGCACCGAAGCUGCGGCAGCGACGCUGAUGCGUUGUUGGGUAGGGGAGCGUUCUGUAAGCCUGCGAAGGUGUGCUGUGAGGCAUGCUGGAGGUAUCAGAAGUGCGAAUGCUGACAUAAGUAACGAUAAAGCGGGUGAAAAGCCCGCUCGCCGGAAGACCAAGGGUUCCUGUCCAACGUUAAUCGGGGCAGGGUGAGUCGACCCCUAAGGCGAGGCCGAAAGGCGUAGUCGAUGGGAAACAGGUUAAUAUUCCUGUACUUGGUGUUACUGCGAAGGGGGGACGGAGAAGGCUAUGUUGGCCGGGCGACGGUUGUCCCGGUUUAAGCGUGUAGGCUGGUUUUCCAGGCAAAUCCGGAAAAUCAAGGCUGAGGCGUGAUGACGAGGCACUACGGUGCUGAAGCAACAAAUGCCCUGCUUCCAGGAAAAGCCUCUAAGCAUCAGGUAACAUCAAAUCGUACCCCAAACCGACACAGGUGGUCAGGUAGAGAAUACCAAGGCGCUUGAGAGAACUCGGGUGAAGGAACUAGGCAAAAUGGUGCCGUAACUUCGGGAGAAGGCACGCUGAUAUGUAGGUGAGGUCCCUCGCGGAUGGAGCUGAAAUCAGUCGAAGAUACCAGCUGGCUGCAACUGUUUAUUAAAAACACAGCACUGUGCAAACACGAAAGUGGACGUAUACGGUGUGACGCCUGCCCGGUGCCGGAAGGUUAAUUGAUGGGGUCAGCGCAAGCGAAGCUCUUGAUCGAAGCCCCGGUAAACGGCGGCCGUAACUAUAACGGUCCUAAGGUAGCGAAAUUCCUUGUCGGGUAAGUUCCGACCUGCACGAAUGGCGUAAUGAUGGCCAGGCUGUCUCCACCCGAGACUCAGUGAAAUUGAACUCGCUGUGAAGAUGCAGUGUACCCGCGGCAAGACGGAAAGACCCCGUGAACCUUUACUAUAGCUUGACACUGAACAUUGAGCCUUGAUGUGUAGGAUAGGUGGGAGGCUUUGAAGUGUGGACGCCAGUCUGCAUGGAGCCGACCUUGAAAUACCACCCUUUAAUGUUUGAUGUUCUAACGUUGACCCGUAAUCCGGGUUGCGGACAGUGUCUGGUGGGUAGUUUGACUGGGGCGGUCUCCUCCUAAAGAGUAACGGAGGAGCACGAAGGUUGGCUAAUCCUGGUCGGACAUCAGGAGGUUAGUGCAAUGGCAUAAGCCAGCUUGACUGCGAGCGUGACGGCGCGAGCAGGUGCGAAAGCAGGUCAUAGUGAUCCGGUGGUUCUGAAUGGAAGGGCCAUCGCUCAACGGAUAAAAGGUACUCCGGGGAUAACAGGCUGAUACCGCCCAAGAGUUCAUAUCGACGGCGGUGUUUGGCACCUCGAUGUCGGCUCAUCACAUCCUGGGGCUGAAGUAGGUCCCAAGGGUAUGGCUGUUCGCCAUUUAAAGUGGUACGCGAGCUGGGUUUAGAACGUCGUGAGACAGUUCGGUCCCUAUCUGCCGUGGGCGCUGGAGAACUGAGGGGGGCUGCUCCUAGUACGAGAGGACCGGAGUGGACGCAUCACUGGUGUUCGGGUUGUCAUGCCAAUGGCACUGCCCGGUAGCUAAAUGCGGAAGAGAUAAGUGCUGAAAGCAUCUAAGCACGAAACUUGCCCCGAGAUGAGUUCU
rnacentral:rRNA from 2 species